UGCCAGCCGCCGCGGUAAUACGGAGGGUGCAAGCGUUAUCCGGAUUUACUGGGUUUAAAGGGUGCGUAGGCGGAUUAAUAAGUCAGUGGUGAAAUCCUCCCGCUCAACGGGAGAACUGCCAUUGAAACUGUUAAUCUAGAGUUUGGUUUAGGUAAGUGGAAUACAGCAUGUAGCGGUGAAAUGCAUAGAUAUGCUGUAGAACACCAAUAGCGAAGGCAGCUUACCGAGCCAAUACUGACGCUGAGUCACGAAAGCGUGGGUAGCGAACAGGAUUAGAUA
rnacentral:rRNA from 1 species